rnacentral:misc_RNA from 1 species
GAUGAAGAACGUAGCGAAAUGCGAUACGUAGUGUGAAUUGCAGAAUUCAGUGAAUCAUCGAAUCUUUGAACGCACAUUGCACCUCUCGGUAUUCCGGGAGGUAUGCCUGUUCGAGCGUCAUUUGUACCCUCAAGCUCUGCUUGGUGUUGGGUGUUUGUUCCGCCUCUGUGUGUGAACUCGCCUCAAAACAAUUGGCAGCCGGCGUACUUGUUUCGGAGCGCAGCACAUUCUGCGAUCCAGAUCAACGUACAGCGGCAUCCAAGAAGCCUUAUUUAACGCUCUUGACCUCGGAUCAGGUAGGGAUACCCGCUGAACUUAAGCAUAUCAAUAAGCGGAGGA